UUUUACUGGAGUACUUUUAAACACAGCUAUCUGUGCUUCUACUUAAGUAAAGAAAGUCUCUGCGCUGAGCGGCUCGCCGCCGGCCUGUCUGUGGGUGUGAGGAGCUCCAUCAGGGUAGGUGAAACGAACAGCACCGUCCACAUACUUCUGCACAACUUGAAACUUCUUCUUCUUUGGUUUAAUUGUUGUUUUCGCGCUGUGACGUCACGUUAGAGCAGCUGCAGCAUUGAAAAAGCUCAGUCCUUCAUCCUGAGCUCUCAUCAUCGUCAUGAUGUUCAGCCCCUCCUCUCCAGGUUUGUGGCUGAAGGUGACGUGAGUCACUCGGAUCACCUUCCAGGUAGCCUCGUCACCUGCCUCUCAUUCUGCUGCUUCGUCACGGUGACGUCAGCACGCAGGACGUGAGGGGGCUUUAAAGGAGGAGGGGGGGCCGGGAUUCCUGAGGAUUACCCGUCAUGCCCCGCGGGUAAAGAUGGCGACAGCUGAGCAGGGCAGCGGAUCAACUUUCUUGGAGCGGCUCUGAGCGGAUUUCCUUCCGCGGACGGAGCGUCUUAGCCGGCCUCAACCCGACCCACUGCCCGGAGCUCCAGCGCGGACCUCGGCGCUGCUGUCCGGCCUCGGAUCGGUCCGGAGCCCCCUCCCUUGGCUCUCCUGCUCCUCCGGAGGCGCGGAGCGGAGCUCGGACAAAGUUUCCCCUCCUCCCCGGGACCGAGCGGCGCGGACCGGGCCUCAGGUACUUUCAGGCAGCGUGAGGGUCGCACGCCGGCAGGAGGAGGAGCUGUGUGCGCUGACAUACGAGGCUGGAUCGUCCUGUGGAUGACCUCCUCUUGGGACUCGCUCAUCCUUCAGGUACAGACACCGGCGACCUGAUGAUGAUGUCACACACACGUAGCAUAUGUGCAUUCACCUGUAAUAGCCAGCAGAAAGAAGGGGAGAGACUAAUGGCUCAGAUCGCGUAACCGAAAGACUUUCCGCAACCCGCAGUAAGCUCCUCCUCCUCUUCAGCUGUCGGUCGUGUCAUCACGCAGGUGAAACGUUUGAGGGGCGUUCGUCCUUCUAACAUGCUGCAGGUCUGUCUCGCCAUCACCGCUCUCAACUCUGCAGCUUGUCAUCAGAUCUGCAGUCUGUUUAUGAGGUCAUUUAAUAGAGGAAAGGGUGCCACCCCAGCCCGUAAUUACGUCUCCCAGCAAACUGACACAUCCUUGGAAAGUUGGAAUUAAAAUUAAUUGCAGCCAGUUUGUGAUUAAUUACAGCGGAGGGAAGGCCCGCUCCCUGACCACCUAAAAGGUAGCACGCCUGGGGUGGACGACGAAUGGUGGGUGUCUGUGUGCUGUUGGGGGACAAUUAAAUUCAUACCUCCACCUUGAGAUCUGAGAUAUUGUGGCUUAUGUCGGAGAAGGCUCUCCUUUACCAAGGAAACCAAGACGGAAAGCAAAGAGACCGCGGCGCUGUCGUCUUAAUAAAAUGUCCUCGUCUUCCUCCUCACCUCAAGCCUGUGCUGACGUCAUGGCGCUAACACACAAAUGCAUAAACGUGCUCAUUUAUUCCCCAAAUUGUUCUAAGUGCUUAUUAUAAUUACUUAUUAGCAGAUGUUGUGGAAGUUUUCCACUUAAAUAAAGCCUGCAGAUGAGCGGUGAGCGGUAGCUAACAUUCUUUAAUCCGGACACACAAAGACAACGGACAACCAAGCUUGAUGGAGAGCCUGCAUGUCCGCGGGGCAGGUCAGCAGAGUCUCACUGAGCCUAGCAUGGCUCUCAGUUUAAAUACCUUCUCCAGGAACAAAAGGCAGUACACAGCUGUUUCACACCUUAAGGUUCACACUCCCUUGCUACCUCCCAGAGUCCUUGAAGAGACAAAAGACUCUUCCUGUGGAGUGGUCUGCUCCCCCCCAACUUCCCUCUUACAGUAUGGGUGUCAGACAUGUUAAAAUCCAGUGGCACCAAGGCUUUAUACAAUAAAAUAAUGUGAUUAGUACAUAUGUGAAAGAAAUUCCUUUACAAUCCCACCCUUUGAUUCUUAAAUCAAGAAUCACAUUAAUACCGGGAUUUCUUUCCUGACUUUCUGUAUAUCACAUCAACAUUAUUUUACACUUAAAGGAGUUUCACACUGUGUAUCCUCACUUCACUGUUCUCCCACCACCCUUUGUUCAUCUUUAAUCCUCCCCACAAUCUGAGCUCUCACAUGCAAAUGGCUACAACAAUGAUACAGAGGAAAGGUCUUCUCCAGAGUGUCAAAGUACUUUGCAUGGCAAAGUGAAACAGCAUUAGGUGGUCAUUCCCAGUCCCGGUCAUGGCUCCUGGUGUCUGUGCCAUUUACAGAGUCAUAAUUCCAACGCUGAUCUCCCUUUGCGCUGUCACUUUUGGAGCUUGGCACGCUCUCUCCAUCCCUCGAUUUCUGUUCCAACGCGGCUGUAGAUUAGGAGCAGAGCAAGUCGUACACUCCUGUAGUCUUCCUCAACGUCAACGUAGAAACUUUCAUUUUAUUUAAGAUUUUGCUGUUCAAAAUCUCCUCAUGACAAUCCUUUGGAAGCCCAGUGGUGCAGCCCACUGUGGUUUGUCUGCUGUCCUGCAGAUGGUCCCUGCUUCUCACUGGUCCUCUUGAAGCGUUCUCUCCCAGUCGUGGUCUGUAUCUGCGUCAAUCCUUCCAUAUCCCUCAUGUCACGGUCUCUGUAAUUUAAAAAUGAAAGCUUCCCCGGAAAACCCUUUUUUGCCCUAUGUCAGCUUAGCACAAUUAGACACGCACAAUAAAGUUGUGCAUUGUCUCUUAAAAAUUCCCAGGGCUUCUCCCCUGGAGUAGCUUCACUCCAGGCCCUGUCUUAAGAAAAGGUAAAACAUUAGCCAGCGGUGUGUCCUGCUGUAAAUCAUGUGAUUGGAUCAUAUGAUUAGCCCUCUGCUGUGGAAAAAUAGAUGUUAGUGCAGCGCAUCUGUAUGCACACUUUCUCACAGUGACCUCUGCACUGUAAACAAUACAAGGUCAUGAAUAACACACUGCUGGUAAAUUCACAAAGACACAGGAAGUGGCGAUUAAAGGUUAAGUCUGCAUGCCCCAAAGGUCAUGCAACCUGUUGCUGUCAUCUUUCUGCUCCUGUAAAAAGAAACAUAUACAUCCACCCUUUUGUCAGGUCAAGGUGGAGGUGCAAUCUUGCAUACUGGUGUCAAGUCAGUCAAAGCUUUUGUCAGUCCAGUCAGUCCCCAUUUUUUAUUUGCUGACAGUAGAACCUCUCGUGACGCAAUAAGUUUCUACUGCCAGCAAUGACGUCAUUUCAAAAAAAGAAAAAUAAUUUAGACUGGAUUACCUCGCUGAAUCCUUUUGGCAGGGACUUGUUUUCUGAUUGUCCCAAAUACGUGGCUUUCUCCCGAGCCCAUUUUAAUUUUUUGGAGAAACUCACUUGCGAUUGUUCAACAUGUUGUGUAGCGCUUUCGAUCCCGAUCUUGCAGGCCUGCUUCAAAAGAGAAAAUUGCCAAACAAAAAUCUCAGUGCACUGUUAAAAAUCAAAAAAUAUGAAGGCCUCUUUUUAGAAGUUGUCUAAGCAUACUCUCUUAGAAUGAUAGAUCAAAACACAACUAAUUGGCAGUUUCAAAGUGGAACCAAAAGAAAAUGCAAAAUCCCCAAAACUUUCAUCCACCAGUCACACACCUCACACAACAACAAUAUUCUAUUAGAUAAUGAGUUUUGUUUUCCCCCAUGUACCCAGACGUGUGUCAUGAUAAGACCUCCCCCACACAUCAGAAACAAGAAACUCAAUAAUCUAUUAGUCUCCACUCAUCUGACCCCCCUGCAGCAUUCUGUUCACCCCUGCAAUGAUUCAAUCAUCCUUCCCCAAAAUAAUACUAGUUCACUAGUCUAUGUAUCACUUCUUAACCCACUAAGUGAACCGGACAAGAUGAUGGUAACAGCAAUGCAUGCUUAAAAUGCUAUUUGGUCUUCAUGAGCUUCAUUGCAUGUGUGUUUGUGUUAGUAGGAUUAAUGCAUUUUUCUGUUUGUGUAAUUUUUGUGUACCUCUCCUCUUUGCGGUGCUCCAGACACUUUUCAAUUCUCCACGCAAGGCAGUCGUUUUCCUUCCCAGUUUCCUAAACCCAAAUUUCAUUCCCACACUAAAACAGCCAUGUUCUCCCCUGCUCCUUCCACUGUGCUCUCAUCUCAUCUCUCCCCCUUGCAGCAGUCCAGUGGCAGUCAGUUGUCUUUCAGCUUUGUCCUGUGUUUUCCACUGUCUCAUCUUGCCAUUUUGCUCCAAAAGUGGCAAAUGUCCAACUCAGGCAGUCUUUUCAAAAGUCCAUUCACACACAGUGAA